UGGAAGGCUGGCAUUCAGAGACGUGGUUAUGUGCCGCAUAUUAAUGUGUGCUCUGUAGACAUCCUCCCCCUUUUUAGAUGAGUGGCACAGGAAUGAAGCCCUCUAUAGAGCCGCCACCGUGGGAGCAGGAGCUCACAAGCAGUCUGCUAGUCUGCUUAGGAACUCAGCAUUAGAAAAAGACCUCUCCAUAUCUUCUCUACCACUGCUGCUUGACCAGCAUUGAGUUGUACAGGCCUGAAAGCCUGAUUAUCAAGGAACUCAUUCUCCCAGACACUGUCAUUUUGGAGCAUGGAAGACAAUUCUUGGCACUUGAGGAAUACAUUUAGAAGCCUGGAGGCCACUGGAAUCAUAAGCACAACUGAAGGAACGAUGCAUCCUUUCCCAUUCCAGGAAUCUCUCAGGGACUCCACUGACUCUUAUACAUUGAGACUAUUU